AAUGAACGCUGGCGGCAUGCCUAAUACAUGCAAGUCGAACGAACGCACGAGAACCUUUCUCCUCUGGGGUUGUCAGCCGACGGGAGAGUCACUCAUGUAUGACAUACCUAUACGACUGGGGUGACUUCGGGAAACCAGAUCUACUACCGGAUAAUAUUUUGACCCGCGUGGUUCACGAGUUGGAGACGCUCUUUCUGUCACUUAUAGAUGAAUCCGGGCUGCAUUAGCUAGUUGUUAAGGUAACGGCUUACCAAGGCAACGAUGCAUAGACGACCUGAGAGGGUGAUCGGCUACAUGGGAACUGAGACACGGUCCAGACUCUGACGGGAGGCAGCAGCAGGGAAUCCUACGCAAGGGGCGAAAGCCGGACGGAGCAACGUCGCGUGAGUGAUGAAGGUCCUCGGAUCGGAAAACGCUGUUAUUAGGAAAGAACAUAUGUGUAAGUAACCGGGCACAUCUUGACGGUACCGAAACAGAAAGCCACGGCUAACUACGUG
rnacentral:rRNA from 1 species